GACACUACAGCGAAGUGGUCAAGGUCGAAUGUUCAGACGUUCAGGCCCAGGUUCGAAUCCUACUAGUGUCG